CCUACGGGAGGCAGCAGUGAGGAAUAUUGGUCAAUGGACGCAACUCUGAACCAGCCAAGUCGCGUGAAGGAUGACGGCCCUAUGGUUUGUAAACUUCUUUUAUAGGGGGAUAAAGUUAUUCACGUGUGGCUUUUUGCAUGUACCCUAUGAAUAAGCUCCGGCUAAGUCCGUGCCAGCAGCCGCGGUAAUACGGAGGGAGCGGGCGUUGUCCGGAUUUAUUGGGUUUAAAGGGAGCGGAGGCCGGCCCUUAAGGGUGUUGUUAAAUGCCGCGGGUUAACCGGGGAGCUGCUUCGAGAACUGGUUGGCUUGAGUGAAGUAGAGGCAGGCGGAAUUCGUGGUGUAGCGGUGAAAUGCGUAGAUAUUAGGAGGAACACCGGUGGCGAAGGCAGCCUACCGU
rnacentral:rRNA from 1 species